AUUUAUCUAAAGAAAUAAAAGUCACAUUCACCUUAAAUUAGGGGAGAAGUUUUGCCUCUGGAAAUUUGGCUUUAUUUCUUUUCAUUGUAAAAACAAUUCAGAUGUUUUAAAUAUGUUCUAUGACAUAGUAAGAUCUUAUUUUAUCUGUGAAAAUUAAUGGCCUCAAAGAGGCAAGCUAAGAGACAGAAAGGAGACACCUCCAUAGUUCCACAAAGCUAUUUCGCCAAAAUUAAAUGACUAUUAAAAAAACAACAUGUGGCAAACAGACCUGAGAGUUUGUUCUAAAUUGGAAGCAUUCCACCUUCCAACUCUCCACUGAGUACCAGAAUUACUUCCUUCUGCCAGAGAUCUGAGAAAAUCAUGCUGAAGAGUGCACAGGCUAUUUGCUAUAAUAUUAUUUCAAUUCCAUGGACUUGUAGCAAUCUUCAGCUAUGGCACUGUGAAAUUAUUUUUAGAUUUUUUGCAAUAUAAUAUAUUUUCCCUUUUUUUUUCUAUUUUCUUCCUCUAUAUAGGAGCUUGUGACUAUGCAUGUCUAAAAACAGUGACUAUCUUUGACAUCCCAUGGCAUCACACUUUUGCCUAUUAGGUCAAUUUCAGUGAAUACUGUUUCUUCUAUUUAUCAAAAGAUCAAGAACUGAGUUUCCUUAGGAUAUGUAUCACUUCUUAUGCUAUGGUUCAUUUCCUACUAGCCCAAUGUGUUUUUUUCAUGGAAUUUUCUCCAUCCCCACAGCCGUUUGUACUCUGGAGCUGAGAUGAAUUCCAAGGUGGGCGUGGAGGUGAUGGGAACUAUCAACACACACUACCUCAAAAUGUGGCUCCUUGGAUUUGAGAGAACAGCAGAAGCAGAAAGGUUUUGGCAGAAAUGUGAAUAUUAGCAAGGAAACUGUGGGAUACAUGAUCCAGUCAUCAUAACCUUCUUUGGAACUGGUAUUGAUCCAGCAGCAGCUUUCAGUACUGAUCUUAAAAACAAAUAAUAUGAUUGGAUCGAUCAUCACAAAGGGAUCGAUCAUCACAAAGGGAAUUUGAAGGAUGUAUCUGGGUAAUUCAAACCGAAAACACCUAACUCCAGUUCAUUAAAAAUCAUUUCAUAUUUGUAUAAGAAUAAUUUUAAAAGAAUCUAGAUGUAGUUAUAAUUUUAGAAGUAGUCAUAUUUCUAGAAUCUUCUUUAAAUUCUUGUUAUUUGAAUAUGAAAUUAUUGUAAAUCAGUUGAAUAAAUAACUAUAUCCGUAUGAAAUUUCAAACUAAUAUGUACAUUAGAAGUAUAUUCAUUUUUCGAGAAGAAAUAUUUUUGUCC
rnacentral:lncRNA from 10 species